CGAUAGGUGCAGUCAGAGACUGUGGAUUGCAUUGCCAUUUUAUCUUUCAAGCAAUACAUAUCUAAAGCACAACUUCAAGCUCAGCAAUUUUUAAAGUAAACUUUAAAAGAAGGUCUUUGCCAGAGAUGUAGAAAAGAGGCCUAGGAGAACAGUUCAUCAUUGCAAAAAUCAAGGCAAAAUCCUCAAAGCCCUAUGGUUUCCUUCUCUUUGUCUUACAGCUUGUCACCUUCUCAGAUCUGUUGUCUGAUUAUGAGGAAUUUUGCAGCUUCCAUAUAUGCCUUUGUUAUCAGCGCAGUUUGAAAAGAUGAUAAAUGGGAAGACAGAGCUUGUACUGUGAACAGAUCUCCCGUUUCAAAG
rnacentral:lncRNA from 1 species